UUUGCUUGCCGUCAUUCCUACUCCCACCUUUCAAUUAUACCUUUGCCUUCAUCGUCGUCGGCCACCUCCUCUUCGGAAAGACAAAGUAAGAGGAUGGAGAGACCUCCGCCCCUUUUCCUCCUCCGCUUCCUGUUCCUUUUCCCUCUCCUUGUCGUCCCCGCCCUCUCUCAAUCCCCGCCGCAACCCAAGGGCUUGCUUAUCAACUGUGGCUCCACCGACGACCUCUUCACCCCCGACGGCCUCAGAUGGUUGGCCGACUCUCGCUUCGUCAUCGCUGGCUCCCCUCGCAAACUCUCCCUCCCGGGCCUCCUUCCCGUCCUCUCCACCCUCCGCUCCUUCCCCGUCCGCCCCGGCCUCCUCCAGCCCCGCAAGUUCUGCUACGUCCUCCGGGCCGUCCGCGGCGCCCGAUACCUCAUCCGCACCACCUACUUCUAUGGCAGCUUCGACAGCCCGGGCAGCAGCGGGACGCCCCCUGUCUUCGACCAGAUCGUGGACGGCACCUUCUGGACCACCGUGAACACGACCGCUGACUACGCCGCCGGCGUGGCCUCCUACUACGAGGGCGUCUUCCGGGCCAAGGGGAUGACGAUGAGCGUGUGCGUUGCCGAGAACACCUACACGACCUCCGACCUCUUCAUCUCCGCUCUGGAGAUGAUCUUGUUGGAGGAUUCGGUGUAUAAUGGGACGAACUUCGACGAGUAUGCCAUGGGCCUCAUCUCGAGGAGCACCUUUGGAUCAAUUGGAUCGACUCUCAGAUAUCCAGACGAUAGAUUCAAUAGAUAUUGGCAGCCAUUUUCUGGGAGUGCACAUGCAAUGACAAGCACCCAUAAUAUAUCAUCAUCUGAUUUUUGGAAUCUUCCACCUGCAACGAUCUUCAACACUGCUCUAGUAGCAGAUAAAGCGAAACCAUUGGUCUUUCAGUGGCCUCCCAAUUUACUUCCAAGUUCCAGCUACUACAUUGCUCUUUAUUUCGCUGAUACAUUACCAGGGAGCACCAGGACAUUCGAUGUCUACAUAAAUGACUAUAGAUUCUAUGCUAAUUUAACAGUUACAUCAGCAGGUCUUGUUGUUUUCUCAACCCAAUGGCUUCUCUCUGGUCUAACGACCAUUACAUUGACUCCUGGAUCUCCUCUUCCGCAAUUAAUAAGUGCUGGAGAGGUUUUUGGCCUUUUCUCAAUUGGAAAUGUCACACAUACAAGAGAUAUCAUUGCCCUGGAGAAUAUAAAAAAGAAAAUUGCUAGUCCACCAUCUGAUUGGAGUGGAGAUCCUUGUAUGCCUGAACAAUAUUCAUGGACUGGCAUUACCUGCUCUAAUGGAUCCAAAAUACGUGUGGUGGCUCUGAAUCUUUCAAGUAUGGGUUUGUCUGGAUCUCUGUCACCACUUAUUGCCAGGAUGACAGCACUAACUGAUAUAUCUUUUGCAUAUAAUAAUUUCACAGGACCAAUUCCAGAUCUAAGCAAAUUAAAGAAUCUUCAGAAAUUGCAUUUACAGAACAAUCAGUUAACAGGAGUCAUUCCUCCAUCACUGGCAAAUCUGAGUCAGCUACGUGAACUCUACUUGGAAAAUAAUAACCUGACUGGUGAAAUUCCUCGAAGACUGUUCAGAAAAGGAUUGGAUUUUAGGUUUUUACCGGGGAACCACUUUUAGCCACCGCCUGCAAAUUAAGCAACAUGAGCUGUCUCUUCAACCAAGGGUUUUGGUGUAGUAGUUGAAAGAUUCAUCCAUACUUCCUGCUCGACACUUGAACUGCAGAUAUCCCGUUUCAGCAUUUUGAUUUCAAAGGGUAAUUUCCACAUGGGUAGAGACACUACCCUGCGUUCAUCCUCAAGGAAGAGCAGUGCUUUGGUUGGUGAUGCAAUAGUGACCAUGUGUACCCUUUUCAGAGGUUGCGAAUUAUGAUGGCGGAUUUACAUGAAGACAUGCAGUGAGUGACAGAAAGUUUGACCAAUUCACCUUAACAGAGUUGACAUUAAUCCAAUCAAAUUUAAGUGAAUUGGUAGACGAACAUCUUUCAGAUGUAUUUUUCGACUUA